UACAGAGGUCUCAAGCGUUUGUUCGGAUUCAUUGGGCGUAAAGGGUGCGUAGGUGGCGGGGCCAGUCAGGUGUGAAAUCCCGGGGGCUUAACCCUGGAACUGCAUUUGAUACUGCCUUGCUGGAGAACUGGAGAGGAGACUGGAAUUUACGGUGUAGCAGUGAAAUGCGUAGAGAUCGUAAGGAAGACCAGUGGCGAAGGCGAGUCUCUGGACAGUUACUGACACUGAGGCACGAAGGCCAGGGGAGCAAACGGG
rnacentral:rRNA from 1 species